ACUCUGUCCUUUUCUUUAGUGCAGCUGCUGGCUGAUAAACCUGCUCCUGCUCUCUCUAAGGCAAGGCCAAGCACAGCUCCUUUCCCCUAGGGCAUGUGCCUUUGCACUGCCCGAGGCUGCUCCUUGGUCCCAAGUCCACAGUACUUUGCUUCUCAGGACAGUUUUCCAUUCUCAGGUAAGCACUCAGGGGAGCUCUCCCAGUGGCACAGUUCCAGGUCCACCUGAAUCCUUUCAGGAAGGACCUCGUCCCUCUGAAUGCUGGUGAUCACAUUUCAACACAAUUUAUGAAGUGCACCUCGUAGGAAAAACUUAGAAAGCCUUUCCAGAUCCACCAGGCAUAGGCACCCUUCUUUCUUUGCUUCAAAGAAACAAAGAUGGCAUUUAAGCAUGACAUUUAAACUCUUUGGGGUCUACUCUAGAGAAUUCCUCAUUGUUCUGGGUCAUCACCCAGGUAUCCAGGAGAUACACAUAUUGUUAAACUUCCGUUUGUUUUUCUCUUGUUAGUUUGCCUUUUGUUACAGAGAGACUCCCAGCUAGGAACCCAUGAAGUUGGAGGUUUAUGGGAAUGUCUAGAUAUAUUUAUAAAUCAUAAAAUUGUUAUUUUGCUACUCAACUUGUUCAGGAGAAGCAACAGUGUUGCAGAAAGAGGCCCAGAGUGGGGACAGCAAUCCCAAUUCUGCAACCAAUGGGCUCUGUCACUGUGGGGCCUUUCCAUGCCUCUGCCUCCUCAUCUGAAAAUGAGCGGGUUGGAUAGAUUUUUCACUACUGUUCCUUUAAGUUCUACCAUGCGGAGGUUUUUUACAUUGCUACCUUCUUAUGUGACAUAGUUUUGCAAUUAAGAACUCUCAAGUUCCUCUUUGCAGUUGGUAUUUGAGAUGUUAAGAAUGGAAACGCUGAUUCCCCUCAGACCCGCUUUGCAGAUAACCCUGCAUUUUACCGAGAUGUCAAAGCAGGAAGUGCUUGGCUGGAACAUCUGCCGACAGCCUCAUCUCUUUCUGCAAGAUCAUGAUGUUCUGCAUGCUCCUGUGGCCUCUUAUUUCACGUUGCUUUUGCUUUAUUUUUAUUUUUUUCCAUGUUUCCUCCUGGCAAGCUCUCCCUGCAAAUUUUGAAACAACUUUAAAGAUGAAUAAAAAGCAGCUCAGCAAGUGAAUCCCAGAUCCCGGUAAGAGAGUGUCUCCCCCAACUCACAUAGUGAGUGCACAUCAUCCCCAGAACCACCAUGAGAGUGAGCCUGGUAGCGGGUAGCACCCUGCCUGUGACGAAGCCAGCACACUAUGACGAGCAGCAGCUUCUAGACCCAUGGACCACGGGCACUGCCAACGCUCUCCCUCCGGGGACUCCUCCUGCCUCCCAUACAGGGCCAAACUCCGACGCCCACGAGCUCGCUCAGAAUUGGCUCAGGCUGCAAUCACUUCUCUUCUCCUACCUCCACACCAUUCCCUGAUGGUGGACAGCUUCUCCUUUGAGAACCACACCUGCCUUUUCAGACAAAAGGAGACACCACCCACCCUCCUGCUGAGGGCUGCUCCCCUGGGGCCUUCUCAGCACACCUCUCUCUCUCUAGGUCAAAAAACAAAUUUCACAUGCUGAAUUUUUACCUUUUUUAAAGUGACUCCGAAUUUUGGCACCAGCAAUUAAUUCAACACUUGAAUAAGAUUUGAAAACCUCACAACAAAUCACAAAUAUAUUAUGGGUCCUGUU